rnacentral:rRNA from 1 species
GACGAACGCUGGCGGCGUGCUUAACACAUGCAAGUCGAACGGUAAGGCCCUUCGGGGUACACGAGUGGCGAACGGGUGAGUAACACGUGGGUGAUCUGCCCUGCACUUCGGGAUAAGCCUGGGAAACUGGGUCUAAUACCGGAUAGGACUCCGGACUGCAUGGGCUGGGGUGGAAAGCUUUUGUGGUGUGGGGUGGGCCCGCGGCCUAUCAGCUUGUUGGUGGGGUGAUGGCCUACCAAGGCGACGACGGGUAGCCGGCCUGAGAGGGUGACCGGCAACACUGGGACUGAGAUACGGCCCAGACUCCUACGGGAGGCAGCAGUGGGGAAUAUUGCACAAUGGGCGCAAGCCUGAUGCAGCGACGCCGCGUGAGGGAUGACGGCCUUCGGGUUGUAAACCUCUUUCAGCAUCGACGAAGCGAAAGUGACGGUAGGUGCAGAAGAAGGACCGGCCAACUACGUGCCAGCAGCCGCCGUAA